AGUGAACGCUGGCGGUAGGCCUAACACAUGCAAGUCGAACGGCAGCACAGGAGAGCUUGCUCUCUGGGUGGCGAGUGGCGGACGGGUGAGGAAUACAUCGGAAUCUACCCUGUCGUGGGGGAUAACGUAGGGAAACUUACGCUAAUACCGCAUACGACCUACGGGUGAAAGCAGGGGACCUUCGGGCCUUGCGCGAUUGAAUGAGCCGAUGUCGGAUUAGCUAGUUGGCGGGGUAAAGGCCCACCAAGGCGACGAGCCGUAGCUGGUCUGAGAGGAUGAUCAGCCACACUGGAACUGAGACACGGUCCAGACUCCUACGGGAGGCAGCAGUGGGGAAUAUUGGACAAUGGGCGCAAGCCUGAUCCAGCCAUACCGCGUGGGUGAAGAAGGCCCUCGGGUUGUAAAGCCCUUUUGUUGGGAAAGAAAUCCAGCUGGCUAAUACCCGGUUGGGAUGACGGUACCCAAAGAAUAAGCACCGGCUAACUUCGUGCCAGCAGCCGCAGUAA
rnacentral:rRNA from 1 species